ensembl:lncRNA
CCCCUUCCCUCUCCUCCCAAUGCCCACCUUUCUUUCUGUCCGACUGGCCCUCUCAGCGGGGCUAUAGAGCCCAAACUUGUCUACAUUUACCCCCUGCGUCGGCCGACCAACGAUGGCCCUCCGUCAGCGCCGCACCCUUCUCCCCGAGUCAGCUCACGCUCUCUGUUUUCUCAACCCCUGACCCCCGGGCCAUGGCAACGGGGGCAGGAAUGUCAGGAGUGAUUGGCAGGAUAAAGAGCGCGGCCCCUCUCUCCCGAGCAAGCGGAUUUGAGACACUUUGAGGGGCGAACAAUGGCGGAUUUGGGCUUGAUUGGAUCACUGAUGAGCUGAUGACUGUCAAAAGAGCACGUCGUCUUUACAUAAGCCUGAUUAUCUCUGCAUGGCGUAGGAGCGCAGAAGAGCAGGAGGGGUAACCGCCGCGGUGGGAGGGAGGGGAGGACUGGCAGGGAGCUCAUCCCACCCCCCCCCACCCCCCAUGCGGAGUGCCUCCUAAAGGGGGAUAGAUCUGCACGCGAGGGCCAGGCUACGGGGGCCCGGGCCUCUCCCAUCCACUGGGGGCCUUUAACAAAUCCAUUCAGGCGACCGGGGGCCCUCACACAUGUGGCCUUAAUCACAGGAGGGUGGCUGAGGGUGGGAGUGCGAGGGAGGGGGGGGGGGAUGACACAUGGAGGCAAUCAUUGUUCGAUCCCUGACCAUCCCAUCAGGACGGACAGAGGAGCGGAGAGAAAAAGAGCGAGAGGGAAGGAUGUAUGCAGAGGGAGCGAGGUGCUGACAGAAAAGAGCAGUGGGACGGGCGAAUCAAAGACAAAUCCCCUCCAUAAUCUACCUCUUUAAUAGGGAUUAGAACUCACCAAAGGGCCUGCAGCAGAAUACCAAAGCGCCAAUGAACACUCCAUUCAGUGAGAGUUUGAGGGGCUGACGGGACUCUAGAAAACUCCCGCGUGUUGUUCGGAGGUGUUUGACUCGCUCGUCUCUUUUUUUUUGCAGGGUGUGCCGAUUUAUUCUGUUUUUGAAAAAGUUUCCGGGGCCGCGAACGACCAACAUGGAGCAAAAAACUUUGAAAACUCCCGACGAAGUUUCCGACGGCACCCGCCAGAACGCGCUAAUCAUAUUUUGGAUCUGCUCACUUUUUUCUUCCGCUCCUUUCAUAACAAAACAUGUUUGGGACACGCUGUGUAACUGAUUAAACAGCCGCUUGAUGUCGUUUUUCGGCCCCAUCAUGCUAAGCUCACUGAUAUCCAACUUUGAAAGAAUAGCAUAUUGUUUGGCUACUUGGAAGAACAGUAGCGUGAUCUGGCUGGGAUGAAGCGUGGAAAAAAAGCAAAGUGUGUGUGUGUGUGUGUGUGUGUGAGGGAGAGAGCGGCUGGUAAUUCUCCUCAGCGGUGCUGAUGGCAGUCUGUCAGAGUUGGCAGAGGAAGUGAAAAUGGCCUCAAGUGUCUGGCUUCCCUCCAUGCUGUCCUCACAUCAAUGACGGCUCGCACUGCAUCAUCUCUCUCCCGCUCGCUUCCAUUUGCGCUCUUUAGACUCCAGUUUGCUCUCUCCAUCUCUUGCUUUCUGACUCUUUCUCUGUCUGUGAAGAGGAUGAAUCGGGAAAAACACAUUUUCUUUUGGAGUGGUUGAGAAGAAGUCCAAACCAGAGUUAAACAGUCGUAUUAUUUCUCCACACCUGGCGUACGCACGUGUCAGGCGGUUUUAAGCAUUUUAAGAUAUAUAAACGCGUAUUUUCUUGCUGGUAGUUUCAUCAGAUGAUUGAGUACACAGUAAAUCUGAGGCCAGCUGCCCGCGAGCUCUGCAUAACACUGGGAACGAGGAUAAAACCACACAUUCCCUCUCCUGACUCGUCUCAGGGGCUCUCCACUCCAAGCUACGACGCUACGUGACCCUCCAGCGACAGCUUGUGGUUUAGUUAUAUUCAAAAUAAACUUCUGUCCUGACAGGAAGUUAGAGUCACUUAUUUAUAUGCAGGAAAUGACUGACGUGAGAAAGAUCAGGAUCUCAGGGGUCUCCUGGAUCAGAGUCCUGUGUUUGUUUGACCCACCCGUCCUGUGUGGUAAUAUGUAAUAAUGAGUCAGUUUCAAGCGCUUUGUGUCAGAUGCCGAGAUGCACUGUUGCAAAGUGUAAAAAACCCACUUCUAAAGCUCACAGUACGCUUUAUAUUAUUUUGUUUAGAUGAAAAAUACAACGUGUGAACAAAUGUCGAGGGAUAUACAAUUUUUUUAAAGAAGAACAAAUUAUAAGGCCAAAUGUUGGGCCUAUUUUAGCUGUUUUUUUUAGGUUUUUAAUUAUAAGAGGAGGGUAUCUCUAGUUUUCUGAUACAUUUUAUCUCAUUUUUCAUCUUUUUGACAAUGAAUUUUUCUAAUAGUCCAUCAUGAUAUAAAAGCAUAACUGUCUUCUUCUAAAAAAAAGUCAAUCAACAUCAGCAAAUUUUGAGAAACAUGGUUUCAAUAUUAGGCUGUUUUCGGUAGGCUGUUAUGACUGUUGAGGAUUUAAAAACUGACGUGCAGAAAGCUUUUCCUCCGCGAGGACGUUUCGCUCCGAGAGGCGAGUUUCUGCUUUACUUUCUCUGAGAGUGAGGUGGCAGCAUUGAGUUAAUCUGCAGGUCCAUGAACCUGGAGGCUCUGGAUCCGUCAAACCAGCUCAAAUCCCCGUUUGACUUUGGUCCAUUUGCCCAGACAAGUCUGCAUUAUAUUGAUACAAAUUGUGAUAAAGUAACUGGCAAAGUGCCCUUUCAUUUCACCAGACAAGUAGCUAUCCGACAUAUCGCCAAUAUACUUAUUUCUUAUGGCUUUUGGGUGGUCUUAACCCAACCUGACCUCACUUAAAUCUAACCGUUGUGCUAAUCUGAUCCAAAGAACUGAACAUCUAGCAGCGCUAGACUUUCCGCUGAGAGGCCCGUUGACUUUACUGUAAGGUGACUAUUCAGUGUUUGACUUUCAAACCGGAGUGUGAAGCGAAAGCGUCGCGGACUUCAAGCCUUAUCUGCAUAUCACGUUCGAAGAUAGCCAUCUAAAUUAGGUGUGUUUACCUGAACCUGGUGCUGUGGCCCCCUCGAGAGGCCCUUGUGGCACGAGGGACCUGCUGCUAAUCCAAACAUGCAUGCAGGAC